rnacentral:lncRNA from 1 species
GCCUUUUAACUGCUGCCAUUACCUUUCAUCGUUCAACCGCUUUCGAUUGAAUUCCUUGAGUCGUGGAACGUGAUAGGGCUGCUUUAACAACUGCCUUGAUAACUGCAUUUCUUGAUAACCACGACGCGUUAUGUCUGUUGAUACCUUGGGCGACUUGAAGGUUUGGGCGAGAAUAGAAUAACAGCUCUGGGCGACCGUAUGACACUCUAUUCGUUCAG